rnacentral:lncRNA from 12 species
AACCUGAGGCAAAUGGAAUCUUCUCGCCCUGGUGAAGAAAGACGCGUAAAUGUCUUGGAUGGUAUCUUUCCUUCCCUGACUUUGAAGUGAGGCGAAGACAAGCCAAGUGGCCUAAACUGAUAAUAAGCACCCUUGAGUGUGCUGGUAGCUCCGAGUCAACAAGUGUCCAGAACAUCGUGAGUGUUGGGAGACGGGGCUGUGAAGCCGUUUUGGACGGAAAGUCGUGUACAGCAGAGUCAGGUCCAGAAGCGAAAGUCUCAGGAGACGAGGUGACGUUCUGGAGAUCAUCAGGCCGCCGCGGGGAUCUAAAUCCAAGACUCCAACCUUUGCUUCCUUCUCUCUUCCUUCUCUUCCCCCUAACGGUCACCCUGUGGUGUCACUGGUUGGUGGAGGAACGUAGAGGCCCCGAGAAUUAAGGGCAACCCCUUCUGCCUUUGAGGGACUUCCAGUCUAGGAGGGAGGUGAGCGGGUGAAAGGACGAGCGGACGAUCCUUGACAACAUGCUCAGGGGGACGAACAAAGGCUUCCAUGCAAGUCUAACUGCACCCUGGCCUGCACCCUGUGCUUCCAAGGCCCCACCCCUCACCCCCUGUGGGACCUGGGGCAUGUCCCUAACCUCCUGAAGCCCCAGUUUCCUCAUGUGGAGGACCACCUCUUUGGGUCGCCGUGGAAGCAUUCAGUAUAGAGCCGGGCACACAGUCGGUGCUCAGUCGUUGGAAGCAGAAACUCAACCCUCCAGAAACACUACCUCCUCCCCUUAUACUUCCCGUGGGGACCCCGCCAUCUGCAACGUAGAUUGCCACCUGCUUGCCCUUCAGUCCUCGUAAGAGCUUUCACAGCUAACUAGGAAGAUUCGGAGUGAAUAUUCACUGAAGAAGUGGCUUCAGGGUGGAUCAGUAUGAGACCAACAAGCACAGGACACCUCGGAUACGCCCGGGACUGUUCUGGCACCUUGCUGGCCCUGCGUAACCCGUAUAACACGGACGCUGUCUGCACACCAGCUCCAUUAUCAUCUCCAUUUACAGAUCAGGAAACCGGGGUCCAGAGGACGCUGAAUACCUCGCCCCACGUCGUAGGGAGGGCGGGACUCAGCCGGGAUGAGGCCCACUCGGCCGGGCCUGGAGCGGGGCUCUACGCGGACACCGCGGCCCUCACCGACAGGCGGCCUGACGAAUGGAUCUCGGGAUACGGGGCCAGGAGCCGAUCGCUCACGGCACGAAGGGAAGACAGCUGCAGAAUUCCAGCCGCCGACAGGAGGUUUUAGACGGACAUGGACAGCUUGGCUCUGCUGGCUGAUGGAGCAGACACGGCCUUCCCCAAAGCGCUGUCCCGGACCGGCUUCUCUUAGUAAAGAGAGCAUCGUCGCGAGAACGAGCUUUUCAUAAAGUAUUGAGGUCAGCAACACCUCAAUGCUAAAGAUGUAAAGUCAAGGUUAACUGACCAGGUUUGUAUCUGAUUUUUCAGAAAGUUGCAAAGAUUUAUUAAGAAUAAUUCGUGACACAACCUAACAGGCUUAUUACUUGCUAUUUGGCAAAUCAUUAACACAGAAACAGGUGGUACUGACAUCAAAAAUGCUCAACUAAUUUUUCAAUAACAUUUUUGAUCAGUUAAAGGAAUCCAACUAGAAUUUUUAAAAAGCAGUUUCUACAUGCAAAGAGUAUCAUUUAUAUUAUAUUUAACUAAUGACAGAGAAGAUUAUACAAAAGAAGAUUUUUAAAUACUGAUUUACAUAUAUUUAUUCUUAUUAAAAAUGUUUAGUAAGGGAUCCCUGGGUGGCGCAGCGGUUUGGCGCCUGCCUUUGGCCCAGGGCACGAUCCUGGAGACCCGGGAUCGAAUCCCACAUCGGGCUCCCGGUGCAUGGAGCCUGCUUCUCCCUCUGCCUGUGUCUCUGCCUCUCUCUCUCUCUCUGUGUGACUAUCAUAAAUAAAUAAAAAUUUAAAAAAAUUAAAAAAAAAUGU